UACGGAGGGGGCUAGCGUUGUUCGGAAUUACUGGGCGUAAAGCGCGCGUAGGCGGCUUUGUAAGUUAGAGGUGAAAGCCCGGAGCUCAACUCCGGAACUGCCUUUAAGACUGCAUCGCUUGAAUCAUGGAGAGGUUAGUGGAAUUCCGAGUGUAGAGGUGAAAUUCGUAGAUAUUGGGAAGAACACCAGUGGCGAAGGCGGCUCACUGGUCCGAUACUGACGCUGAGGUGCGAAAGCGUGGGGAGCAAACAGG
rnacentral:rRNA from 1 species